AUUGAACGCUGGCGGUAUGCCUUACACAUGCAAGUCGAACGGUAGAGGGGCAACCCUUGAGAGUGGCGAACGGGUGAGUAAUACAUCGGAACGUGCCCAGUCGUGGGGGAUAACGUAGCGAAAGCUACGCUAAUACCGCAUACGACCUGAGGGUGAAAGCGGGGGAUCUUCGGACCUCGCGCGAUUGGAGCGGCCGAUGGCAGAUUAGGUAGUUGGUGGGGUAAAGGCCUACCAAGCCUGCGAUCUGUAGCUGGUCUGAGAGGACGACCAGCCACACUGGGACUGAGACACGGCCCAGACUCCUACGGGAGGCAGCAGUGGGGAAUUUUGGACAAUGGGCGAAAGCCUGAUCCAGCCAUACCGCGUGCGGGAAGAAGGCCUUCGGGUUGUAAACCGCUUUUGUCAGGGAAGAAAUCUUCUGGGUUAAUACCUCGGGAGGAUGACGGUACCUGAAGAAUAAGCACCGGCUAACUACGUGCCAGCAGCCGCAGUAAUAC
rnacentral:rRNA from 1 species